UACGUAGGGUGCGAGCGUUGUCCGGAAUUAUUGGGCGUAAAGAGCUCGUAGGCGGUUUGUCGCGUCUGCCGUGAAAGUCCGGGGCUCAACUCCGGAUCUGCGGUGGGUACGGGCAGACUAGAGUGAUGUAGGGGAGACUGGAAUUCCUGGUGUAGCGGUGAAAUGCGCAGAUAUCAGGAGGAACACCGAUGGCGAAGGCGGGUCUCUGGGCCGAUACUGACGCUGAGGAGCGAAAGCGUGGGGAGCGAACAGG
rnacentral:rRNA from 1 species